rnacentral:tRNA from 1 species
CAGAGAAUAGUUUAAAAAGUUAAAAUAUUAGUUUUGGGAAUUAAAGAUAAAAGUAUUUUUUCUCUGA